rnacentral:rRNA from 1 species
CCUACGGGUGGCAGCAGUGAGGAAUAUUGGUCAAUGGGAGAGAUCCUGAACCAGCCAAGCCGCGUGAGGGAAGAUGGCCCUAUGGGUUGUAAACCUCUUUUGCCGGGGAACAAAACCUGGGACGUGUCCCGGACUGCGCGUCUCCUAAGAAAAAGCAUCGGCAAACUCCGUGCCAGCCGCCGCGGAUAUACAGGGGAUGCGAGCGUUAUCCGGAUUUAUUGGGUUAAAGGGGUGCGUAGGCGGUCCGUUAAGUCAGCGGAAAAAUUGCGGGGCUCAACCCCGUCGAGCCGUUGAAACUGGCAGACUUGAGUUGGCGAGAGGUACGCGGAAUGCGCGGUGUAGCGGUGAAAUGCAUAGAUA